GNGCUUCCCGCCCGCCGCCUGUGGGGAGGGACAGGGCCGGGCACGGAAAGCGAGACAUUGCCGAAAAACCGAUCCAAAAACGCCCUGGAAGGAGCCUGGAGUAGCAGUCUCGAUCUGCUGAGGGAAGGCUCCUCUCCCCUCCCGUCGCAAUUACGUCCACGGGUCUUUCUCGACCCGCUUAAAAAUAUCACGGCUGAAAACGAGUUGGAAAUUGUGGUAAAAAUCGUCCGAUGUGGGAGCCUCGACGUGUUGGGCGAGUCACGGGAUUCUAGAAGCUUAAGGCCAUUCCUGUUUGUCGCCGCAGUCCCUUGCGAAAAGUCCCUCUCCAGGGACAGGGGUGCACAGGGAAGAGCAGGGGAACCAUGGGAGCACCCCAGGAGUGACAGGGAGGUGUUAGGAACACCACCACUUGUGUGAUGCAGUGCUGGGAUUUGCUGAUUUCUUCACCAAAAAUAAUGGAUUUCAAUUUACUUCCUGAUGUUCAGGGCAUCACUUCA